AUGUGCUGUCCUAGGGCAUUUUGCGGUAGAUGUGGUUUAAAUGGUCAUCUGGUGCCUAUUUGCAAUACUGUUCUUUCUUGGGAAUGUGUAGCUCCUAUGUGUGGCUUUCAAGCUAAGGGGAAUGGUUUCUUCUAUAUACAUGACGCUAGUACACCCAAGCAAAAUACUGAUAGGAACAAAUAUAUUGUCAUCUCUGUGAUAGAAGGGCAAGCUAGUGGCAGGCAGUUGGAGGAGUUCUUUAAUGCAUACAUUAACACAAAUUCGAAGUGUUCCGCUAGGUCGAUUGGGCUGAAUACAUUUGUGAUGAGAUUUCCUUCACCUAGGGAUGUUGACAAGGCUUGUUUUGCUGAAACUAUGAAUAUUAAGAGCUGUGGUGACGUGGUGAGUCUCAAAAAAUAG
rnacentral:rRNA from 1 species